rnacentral:rRNA from 1 species
GUAGGUGGCAAGCGUUGUCCGGAAUUAUUGGGCGUAAAGCGCGCGCAGGCGGUUCUUUAAGUCUGAUGUGAAAGCCCACGGCUCAACCGUGGAGGGUCAUUGGAAACUGGAGAACUUGAGUACAGAAGAGGAAAGCGGAAUUCCACGUGUAGCGGUGAAAUGCGUAGAGAUGUGGAGGAACACCAGUGGCGAAGGCGGCCUUCUGGUCUGUAACUGACGCUGAGGCGCGAAAGCGUGGGGAGCAAACAGGGAUUAGAUACCCUGGUAGUCCACGCCGUAAACGAUGAGUGCUAAGUGUUAGGGGGUUUCCCGCCCCUUAGUGCUGCAGCUAACGCAUUAAGCACUCCGCCUGGGGAGUACGGCCGCAAGGCUG